UACGUAGGGGGCGAGCGUUGUCCGGAUUUAUUGGGCGUAAAAGGCUUGUAGGUGGCCACGCCAAGUCGGAUGUGAAAUCUCCCGGCUCAACUGGGAGGGGUCAUUCGAUACUGGCGGGCUCGAGGUCGGUAGGGGGAAGCGGAAUUCCGGGUGUAGUGGUGGAAUGCGUAGAUAUCCGGAGGAACACCAGAGGCGAAGGCGGCUUCCUGGACCGAUUCUGACACUGAGGAGCGAAAGCCAGGGGAGCAAACGGG
rnacentral:rRNA from 1 species